rnacentral:rRNA from 1 species
UACGGGGGGAGCAAGCGUUGUUCGGAUUUACUGGGCGUAAAGCGCGCGUAGGCGGUUUUGCAAGCCAGAGGUGAAAUGCCUGAGCUCAACUUAGGAAUUGCCUUUGGGACUGCGAGGCUUUGAGGACUGGAGAGGUGAGUGGAAUUCCCAGUGUAGAGGUGAAAUUCGUAGAUAUUCGGAGGAACACCAGUGGCGAAGGCGGCUCACUGGUCCAUUACUGACGCUGAGGUGCGAAAGCGUGGGGAGCAAACAGG